GUGGGGAAUAUUGGACAAUGGGCGAAAGCCUGAUCCAGCCAUGCCGCGUGUGUGAAGAAGGUCUUCGGAUUGUAAAGCACUUUAAGUUGGGAGGAAGGGCAGUAAGUUAAUACCUUGCUGUUUUGACGUUACCGACAGAAUAAGCACCGGCUAACUUCGUGCCAGCAGCCGCGGUAAUACGAAGGGUGCAAGCGUUAAUCGGAAUUACUGGGCGUAAAGCGCGCGUAGGUGGUUCAGCAAGUUGGAGGUGAAAUCCCCGGGCUCAACCUGGGAACUGCCUCAAAAACUACUGGGCUAGAGUACGGUAGAGGGUAGUGGAAUUUCCUGUGUAGCGGUGAAAUGCGUAGAUAUAGGAAGGAACACCAGUGGCGAAGGCGACUACCCGGACUGAUACUGACACUGAGGUGCGAAAGCGUGGGGAGCAAACAGGAUUAGAUACCCUUGUAGUCC
rnacentral:rRNA from 1 species